GGAUUGUUUAUGAGUUUGUUUGCAGUCACUUCUACUGCCUCGGCUCAAACAGGUGGAUCGUUUUUUGACCCUUUU
rnacentral:tRNA from 1 species